GACGAACGCUGGCGGCGUGCUUAACACAUGCAAGUCGAACGGAAAGGCCCUGCUUUUGUGGGGUGCGCGAGUGGCGAACGGGUGAGUAACACGUGAGUAACCUGCCCUUGACUUUGGGAUAACUUCAGGAAACUGGGGCUAAUACCGGAUAGGAGCUCCUGCUGCAUGGUGGGGGUUGGAAAGUUUCGGCGGUGGGGGAUGGACUCGCGGCUUAUCAGCUUGUUGGUGGGGUAGUGGCUUACAAAGGCUUUGACGGGUAGCCGGCCUGAGAGGGUGACCGGCAACAUUGGGACUGAGAUCCGGCCCAGACUCCUACGGGGGGCAGCAGUGGGGAAUAUUGCACAAUGGGCGGAAGCCUGAUGCAGCAACGCCGCGUGCGGGAUGACGGCCUUCGGGUUGUAAACCGCUUUCGCCUGUGACGAAGCGUGAGUGACGGUAAUGGGUAAAGAAGCACCGGCUAACUACGUG
rnacentral:rRNA from 1 species